rnacentral:rRNA from 1 species
CGUGUAGGCGGCUCGGUAAGUCCGCUGUGAAAGUCCAGGGCUCAACCCUGGAAUGCCGGUGGAAACUGUCGAGCUAGAGUCCGGAAGAGGCGAGUGGAAUUCCUGGUGUAGCGGUGAAAUGCGCAGAUAUCAGGAGGAACACCAAUGGCGAAGGCAGCUCGCUGGGACGGUACUGACGCUGAGACGCGAAAGCGUGGGGAGCAAACAGGAUUAGAUACCCUGGUAGUCCACGCCGUAAACGAUGGGCACUAGGUGUGGGGGGUGUCGACUCCCUCCGUGCCGACGCUAACGCAUUAAGUGCCCCGCCUGGGGAGUACGGCCGCAAGGCUAAA